rnacentral:rRNA from 1 species
GAUAAACGCUGGCGGCGUGCCUAACACAUGCAAGUCGAACGAUCCCGCAAGGGAGAGUGGCGGAAGGGUGAGUAACACGUGGGAAUCUACCUCCUCGCAGGGGAACAACCUCUCGAAAGAGAGGCUAAUACCCAAAGGGUCAGAAAUGAUCAGAGUCGAAAGGCGUGAGGAGAGGAGCCCGCGGCCCAUCAGCUAGUUGGUGAGGUAAUGGCUUACAAGGCUACGACGGGUAGGGGAUCUGAGAGGAUGUCCCCCACACUGGAACUGAAACACGGUCCAGACGCCUACGGGUGCAGCAGUGAGGAAUAUUGGACAAUGGGCGAAAGCCCGAUCCAGCAACGCCGCGUGGAGGA